rnacentral:lncRNA from 1 species
GUCAAACGGCUGCGGCAUGAGUAUGUGGAGGGAGUUUUGCAGAUGGAUGCUGAGGAAAUCCUGCAUGAAUUCAUAUAUAUUGAUGAGGCAGGGUUCAACCUCACAAAAGCAAGAAGGAGAGGCAGAAAUAUCAUUGGCCAAAGAGGUAUAAUCAAUGUCCCAGGGCAACGUGGGGGUAACAUCACCCUUUGCGCUGCCAUUUCACAGCAUGGGGUUCUCCUCCGUCAUGCCAAAAUGGGCCCUUACAACACACCUCACAUUCUCGCAUUUUUGGACCGAUUGCACCACAUCGUCACAGCAGGUAAUGAAAUGCACCAGAUGAAAUACACUGUCAUCUGGGACAAUGUGUCAUUCCACCGCUCUGCUUUGGUCCAGAACUGGUUUCAACACCAUCCACAGUUGACAGUUGACCUUCCACCAUACUCUCCGUUUCUAAAACCUAUCGAAGAGUUUUUCUCUGCAUGGCGGUGGAAGGUUUACGAUCUCCAUCCCCAGGCUCAGGUACCCCUCAUUCAGGCCAUGGAGGACGUCUGUGACCAAGUCGACGCCGCAGCUGUGCAAGGAUGGAUUCGACAUUCAAGACAGUUUUUCCCACGUUGUCUUGCUAAUGAGGAUAUUGCUUGUGAUGUUGAUGAAAUUCUCUGGCCAGAUCCAGCUAGGCGAAGAGAUAAUGUAUAGUAUGUUUACUGUAGUAUUUUCUGUACAAUAUUGUCAUUUUUUUCAGAUUAUUUUUUAUGUUGUUGUUAUUUACUGUAAUUGUAACCUGUACUGGAUACAGUAUUUUACGUUUGUCUGUUUGCUGAGCUAACAGUGUUAUGAACACUACUGUAGUAGCAUGAAAACUGGGAAAUGUUUUGUUGUGAUUUUCCAUGUUGAGAUGUUGACUGAUUUGGGUAUAUGGAGAGAAAUAAAUGAUAUUUUCCUCAGUAUGCAGCAUUGGUCUUGUGUCGUGUUUGUAUAGUUGCACUUUCUCUGUGUACUUCAUUUACACUACUCUAAUCACUGACAAUUAGACUUGCUAAAAGUGUUUUAGGUUAGCAACAGCAGUGUAACUGGUUCAAAAAGAUUGAAGUCAUAUGAAAUAUGUCUGUUUCGUAUGGUAACAAAAUAUUGUUUUUAUGAAGUUGUGUAUAGUUUUGACAAAAGUGUUCCAUUUUGCAA